rnacentral:lncRNA from 1 species
CGGCCGCGGCUCCCGGUUCCGGCGCUGGCUGCGUUGACGGUGGGGGAUGGGCCCGAGGGCUCAGGAACCCUCUCAAGGCGCUUAAAAAGCAGAGUGACGGCGCCGCUCAGCCAGCCGCAGGGCGGCAGGCGGCGAGGGACAGCGCGACCGUGGCGGGCGGCCCCCGGAUUUGGGCUCAGACCCAGCUCUGGCACCAGCGACUGCUCCCUGAAAUGGCGCCCGCCGCGUCUCGCUGCUCGCAGGCUCCGCGCACUCGCACGGGGUCGCCUAGCGCCCUUCGCAGGGGCUCUCGCGAGACACAGGCGAAACAAGGCCGAACGCAUCUUCGUCUUACGCGUCUCGCGAGACAUCGCACCCGGAAACCGUGGCUCAAACACUCGCGAGACUUGGGCUGCGGGCGGGCCGGCAGGCCUCCUCCUUCCCCCCGCAUCUAGGCGCUCUCGCGAGAAUGGUCGCGCCCGCCUCGGGCGCAGCGGAGAGAGCAAAGACUCUGGGAGGAGGCCCACAAGCCUGACACUUUUGUUUACUCCGCUAACACGCUGCUCACCCUUUACUGAUAUCCAGGAAGUGUGGAAGGAAGGAAGAAGCAGGAUGUGAAUCCCAAGGAGGUAAAAACACGUAUAGGAUUUGAGUAUAUACAGACUUCUUGGUGGGGAUGGGUAAUGAGGGCCCUCGGCAGUGCCUCCUGCCAUUUAGCACCUCCAUGCUACAUGCCACGCACCAGGGAAGCAGCUGCCCAAGCUGUGCGUAAGCUUCGUGUCCGGCUCUGGCACCGGCYCUCAGGGGUCUCGAGCGCUGUACGAUGUGGCUGUUGAUAUACCAGGGAUAGUGAUUAUGUAACUGCAGGGUUAUUAGCGUGGUUGCUAUGUGCUUGUGUUGGUUCACCUCUGGCGCUGGCAGGAAGGCCAGAGGGAAGCUUUAAGUAAAACAUUUCCUAACAAAAGUUUUCCUGGUUAAGGGACAGUGCUUGACCUGGAGGAGAGGCUUGGUCUCAUUUUAGUACCAUGUGUUGAAAUGCAGGAUAUUUAGGUAGCAGGUCCUUGCUUGCCUGUGAUUCUGCUAAAAGCACCAGGGGUUGUGGGAGCCCUGGGGUGCA